CAGGACAGUACAUAUAUCUACCAACUCUAAGCAGUAAAAAAACUUUGAGAAGAGUAAUGAUGAAUGGACACUAGGAAUCAAAGAAAAUGACUGGUCAUUUAAACAUUGUAUUUAAUGUUUAAAAGGAGUGCGGUGGUGGCUUUCUAAAAUGCAAUUUCAUUGUAGAUUGCUUAAAAGAGAACAGGCUAUAAAAGGCAGAAUCACCAGAGGGGAGUAACUGACUGUGUCCGUAGCAAGUUCCAGUGGGGCAGGUUAGUCUGCCACUGGAUUCCUAAUGGGUGGUUUGUUGUUGUUUUUCAACAGGCUGAAUAUGCUUUCCACAUUUAAAAAGAUGUUUUGGCAACAGAAAUCCAAUUUUGAAUGAAUGAAAGACUCACAACAAGGUCUUAAAAAAACUGAAAAGCAAACAGAAGGAAUGAGUUUGCUUAAUAGUAUCACCUUAAUUCAAGGAAGAAAUUUCAAAGUCAUCUUCAAUUUUUCUCUCUCUCAACGCAAUAAAG
rnacentral:lncRNA from 10 species